rnacentral:rRNA from 1 species
ACCCGCUGAACUUAAGCAUAUCAAUAAGCGGAGGAAAAGAAACCAACAGGGAUUGCCCUAGUAACGGCGAGUGAAGCGGCAACAGCUCAAAUUUGAAAUCUGGCUCUUUUAGAGUCCGAGUUGUAAUUUGCAGAGGGCGCUUUGGCUUUGGCAGCGGUCCAAGUUCCUUGGAACAGGACGUCACAGAGGGUGAGAAUCCCGUACGUGGUCGCUGGCUAUUGCCGUGUAAAGCCCCUUCGACGAGUCGAGUUGUUUGGGAAUGCAGCUCUAAAUGGGAGGUACAUUUCUUCUAAAGCUAAAUAUUGGCCAGAGACCGAUAGCGCACAAGUAGAGUAAUCGAAAGAUGAAAAGCACUUUGGAAAGAGAGUCAAACAGCACGUGAAAUUGUUGAAAGGGAAGCGCUUGCAGCCAGACUUGCUUACAGUUGCUCAUCCGGGCUUUUGCCCGGUGCACUCUUCUGUAGGCAGGCCAGCAUCAGUUUGGGCGGUAGGAUAAAGGUCUCUGUCACGUACCUCUCUUCGGGGAGGCCUUAUAGGGGAGACGACAUACUACCAGCCUGGACUGAGGUCCGCGCAUCUGCUAGGAUGCUGGCGUAAUGGCUGU